GACGAACGCUGGCGGCGUGCUUAACACAUGCACGUCGAACGAAGUGGCGAACGGGUGAGUAACGCGUAAUCAACCUGCCCUUCAGAGGGGGACAACAGUUGGAAACGACUGCUAAUACCGCCUACUGAUUGAGGGGAUUGCGUCUGCUUGGCUAGUUGGGGGGGUAACGGCCCACCAAGGCGAUGAACAGUAGCCGGUCUGAGGGGUAGAACAGCCACAUUGGGAAGGAGAAACGGGCCAGACUCCUACAGGAGGCAGCAGUGGGGAAUCUUCAGCAAUGGGCGAAAGUAUGACGGAGCAACGCCGCGUAUGGGAUGACGGCCUUCGGGUUGUAAAGCUCUGUUAAUCGGGACGCGGUACCGGAAGAGAAAGCAACGGCUAACUACGUGCCAGCAGCCACGGUAAUAC
rnacentral:rRNA from 1 species